UUCAUGAAGCCGGAAUUGCUAGUAAUGGCAGGUCAGCAUACUGCCGUGAAUACGUUCCCGGGCCUUGUACACACCGCCCGUCACACCAUGAGAGUUGGGGAUACCCGAAGCCUGUGAGCUAACUAUUUAUAGGAGCAGCAGUCGAAGGUAGAAUCAAUGAUUGGGGUGAAGUCGUAACAAGGUACC
rnacentral:rRNA from 1 species